CCAGCUCCAAUAGCGUAUAUUUAAGUUGUUGCAGUUAAAAAGCUCGUAGUUGGAUUUCGGGUGAACCUCGCCGGUCCGCCAUUGGUGAGCACUGGCGGGGGUUACCUUCCUGCCGGGGACGGGCUCCUGGGCUUAAUUGUCCGGGACUCGGAGUCGGCGUUGCUACUUUGAGUAAAACGGAGUGUUCAAAGCAGGCCUACGCCUUGAACGAUAUAGCAUGGAAUAGCGUGAUAGGACUCUAGUCCAUUACGUUGGUCUGUGGACCUGGAGUAAUGAUUAAUAGGGACAGUCGGGGGCAUUAGUAUUUCAUUGUCAGAGGUGAAAUUCUUGGAUUUAUGAAAGACUAACUUCUGCGAAAGCAUUUGCCAAGGAUGUUUUCA
rnacentral:rRNA from 1 species